rnacentral:rRNA from 1 species
CUAGAGAUAGAAAGUUACUUCGGUACAUCGGUGACAGGUGGUGCAUGGUUGUCGUCAGCUCGUGUCGUGAGAUGUUGGGUUAAGUCCCGCAACGAGCGCAACCCCUAUUGUUAGUUGCCAUCAUUCAGUUGGGCACUCUAGCGAGACUGCCGGUAAUAAACCGGAGGAAGGUGGGGAUGACGUCAAAUCAUCAUGCCCCUUAUGACCUGGGCUACACACGUGCUACAAUGGUUGGUACAACGAGUUGCGAGUCGGUGACGGCGAGCUAAUCUCUUAAAGCCAAUCUCAGUUCGGAUUGUAGGCUGCAACUCGCCUACAUGAAGUCGGAAUCGCUAGUAAUCGCGGAUCAGCACGCCGCGGUCGAAUACGUUCCCGGGCCUU